AUGAACGAACCACAGCACGAACCCCCUGGAAUGAAGUUUGUGCCAAAACGAGGGCUAAAGGAGUCAGAGUGGCCUCUCCGUACAAAACCUGGCAGUGGUCUGGUGCUGCACAGCUAUGCCUCUGGAGGAGGGAUGAUAAAGGGAAGCACGACUGCCCCUCACCCCGCAAUGCUGCCCAUAAGGUGUGACCUGCCCCAGGAUGUCUCAGAUUUAUUUGAAUUCAUUCAAAGCACCAGAAGACCCCCCAACCAUAAAAUAAUAAUUUGGAAGACAUAAUGCCAUAAAACAUUCCUUUACUGGAGAACAAGUGGCAUCGUUCCUUCAGAACGCCCCUCUUUGCUUCUGUAGAAUUGUGUUUUGGUUGUUUGCUUCAAGCAACCCUCAGAGUUAAAUUAACCAAGGUCCUUGGCGGUUGCCUAAAAUAGCUGAGGAGGUCUUCCCAGUGCACCGAGUCAUCCCUGGAAGGACAGAGCCUAUUCCUCAAGGCUCAUCUUGAAAGGGAAAACUAACAAUUACGAUGUGUUUUACUAAUGAUGGAAUUCAGGUUGUGAAGUCAGACUUCAGCCCCUGUAAGUGCUUCUUGGCUCCUCAGAAGUGAAAGACGUGGAACUGCUUUAGCAAGGGACAGUCCCUUACUGCCAUGAAUACAGCCAGAUAGACACUUUCAAAAACCAGGUUUACAGUUUAAAUGUAUCUAUCAUUUAUUCUCUUUGAGCCAAACAGACAAAUGUACUGAGUUAAAAGUCAAAGUAUUCCAGGGCACAGCCAAACACAGAAUGACAAACUAACAAAUGUCUCUGAGGAGCAUUUUGUUAUCCUUCCAAAACCUUCAAGUAUUUUACACAGAACCCAUGUUUCAGGGAAUAUAAGAUGUGCGAAAUCUUCAAAGUACUCGUUUAUAGCAUCACAGUUCUGCCCAUCAGAAGAGCAGCGUGUCAGAAAUGCUAGAGCUAACAAGUCAUUAGUUCUCUGAUAGAAAGAGAAACAAAUACAAUUAAAAACCUUCAGUUCUAAGCCAAUCCAACACCAGAUACUAAACCAAUCCAACACCAGAUACUAUUUUCCUCGUUUUAAAGUUUAGUCUGAGGACUUAGAAGCUCCUUUUCUAGAGGACUUUUUUUUUUUUUUUAAACAUACACAAAUUACUAAGAGGUGUUUAACAGAUCUACAUAAUGAAUUUGUAAUAAAAAACAAGGAAGAAAAAAUAAAAAAGAUCCUGCACUGCAGAUCUGACUCCUGAAAGGAACUCCAUGAUCAGGAGAGCUCAUGUCCAAGGGCUCUAAAGCUGGUUGAGUGCAGCAGCUUUACAGAUGUUACGCCUCCCCAAACCUUUUCUUCCACUACCAAAGCACCUUCUGUGUUUUUUUUUUUUCUGACAACAGCAUCUACUGAAGUUCAAGAAAACAAGUUUUUCUUCAUUAUCGCUUUCUUUCUGUUGUUAAACGUUUAAAAUAAAAAUUGCUAUUUUGCUGUCAUUUUUCCAUGGUUAUUGGUUGCAGUGUUGCAUUUUGGUACAGUAUAACUUACAGCCUAGUUUGGUUUUAAAACCAAUGUGUGGCCAUCUGCCUAUCCUGCCGUCAGGCAAGAACUUUGCUCUCACCCGACUCACUAUAAAAUCAAUCAUGAUGUGUACUUAACACUCUCCUUGAAGCAAAGGAAAGCAGCAGGAUGAAAAGCUAAAACCACAUCCUCUGCCCUUUGUCGGGAACACAGCUUCACAGUCACUGUACCCUUCAAAGCUUCUUGCUCUUUCCAGGCUGAUGGCAAACGAUUACAGAGAACCUGUGCUGGCUUCCUCCUUAGCCAUUUACCUGUCCUCUCACAGCUACUCUAAGCCAGCGCAACCUUCAGAUCAACUCUGAAGACUUCUUCAAGUUCAGCACUGAACUAAACAGAAGGGCAGCUGAAAGUAAAAUACAUAUAUAUAUAUAUUUAGUUCAGUAUGCAUGCUUAAUAAAUUAGGUAUCACCUUUGUAAUAUCUUACUAUUACAGAUGCCACCUUGUAACGAUAGCAUUUCUUCUUAUAAAAUGUAUCAUUCAUCUCAAGGUUCACUUGCAAAUUUAAUUUGGAAUUAAAAAAAGUGUUCCUCUAAUGACGUCAAGAAAAGAGAGACUGACUUAUGUUAAGGUUGAAUUUGAGUGUGCCUGUGAGCUGAGCAUCCCUGCAGGGCUCAGGGAGAACAUACCCUUGGAGAUGCUUCCGAACCACACCAAUUGCACACUGUUUACUUGGAGGUGGUUCGGGGCACUCUACUGAAGACCAGACUAGAAUGGGAGUCGAAGUAACUGGGGAUGAAGUGCCCAGUGACUCAUUUGUGGUCCCUUGUGAGCAUUUGCAGCUAUCCAACAAAAUCACAGAGAGGACAGAAGUAGGCUAGUACUUGGAGGAAGACUUGCCUUCUCCACCCAUCUUGCAGUGGUUCAGAUUUUCUCUUUUAAAGCCCUUAAAAGAUGAAGUUUAAGUGGUGCUUGCCUCCAGUAGGAAGCACCACUGUGUCAGAGGCUAAGGACCAGGCAGCUGAAGCUGCACUGAACUGGAACUUGUGGCACCCCAAGGGCAUUUCCAGGCACGUCUGACUGUGCACUGAGCAUGUGAGAGCUUGUGUUUGCAACCUUUACUGUGCUGCUCUGCGGGUGUGAUUUUCCAUUUCGGUUAGACGGAAAACUUGUGCAUUCCUGCUUCAGAAUAGAGGAUCCAGACUUAGCCUGCUUCAGCCUCACUCUGGAGCCCACACGGACUCUCUGCUCAUCAGCAUCUCAAUGAGCACUUCACUCAGCCGUGUCUCUGCAAAUGGUUCCUGCCUCAGACCAAUGCACUGAAACCAGCGCUGUCAGCUGGAUGCAGAACCGGCCAGAAACACCCCUAAAUGAGAAACCUGUCAUAUGCCAUUCACAGUCACAUCCAUUAGUGAAAACUAAUCAGGAACUGCACUUGUAUGACAAUUGUGUACCAUUUAUUGCAAGGUGCCUUUUCUGGACAAAGUGUGUAUUUUUAAGAUAAAACGUGAAGUCUCUUCCGUUGGUGCCUCCUAGUGCUGGCAGGCAUGACACAACUUGGGCUUCCAAAUAUUUCCUGCAGGAUGUAUUUUUGUCCUCAUCGAUGUACUCUUGCAGUACACAGUGUCUAUUACAUUUGAGUCUUGCCCUGUGUGACACAAGCAGCAGAUGAAACUGAUUUGGCAUAGAGAAAUAGUCAGUUUAUGACACUUCUUCCUACUUAUCUACAGUCCAGACCUGGCCUGCUUGUCCAUCCUUCACAGCUUACAUGAUGCCUGCGCCACCAGGGCAGAUGCACUCUGUCUGACCCGGACCACUCCUGACCCUUUAUCUGCUUUUCUUCACGCAGCCUUUUCAGAUUUGUGAUGACGGAAAACGUCAGCUAUGUGCAAGAAAUGGGGAUCACUGAAUAAUUAACCCACAAUAGCAACUAUUGAGAAAGCAACUUCUCUCUCUCACACAGAGUAGGAGAGCUCCAAUAAGUAUAAAGUUUAAUGCUACCCUAUUUAAUGAUAUUUUCACUUCAACUGGACUGUAAAAUUAACUGAGAACUUACACUAAAAAAAUUCUUUUAUUUUAUGCCGAUCAUUAACUAGGGAGGUUUCACACUUGAGGUCUAUUAUACUAAAAGGAACUGAAAUUGCUUAUAUCAAUUACCUUAUUCUAUGAGGACAGACCUCACAGAGCAUUGAAACUGUUUUGCAACUAUGGAAAAUGAGAGAAUCGCGACUCCCAGGUGGGACAGGAUCCCCAGCCUGUGGCCACUGCCCUUCCUGUACUGCCCACCAGUCUGGGGAAGGCCAAAGCCUUCUCUUCUCCAGGCUGAACAACCCCAACUCUCUCAGUCUGUCUCUGCCAGCACAAAACAAACUUUGUUCUGUGAAGGCAGCUGGAGCACGCCGCUUUGUUUGUUGCCUGCAUGAGACCAUGACCAAGCAGAGCUGCUGGGCAACCCGGCUGACGAGUUAGUAAAGAACCCAGCUUUAUUCUGCUCUUUGUAUGGACACUCAUCAAACAUCCCACACGUCAGUUCACACAGGACUUGGAAUGAUAAUAUUGGCAGUGUCCCUGCUGACUAUGUUAACUUACAGAGCAGCAGCAUCGAUCGAAUUAUGUAACCUACUUACUCGCUCUUAUUAAUGUUGCCUUUUAGUCUGUUAAUUCUGUACUUGCAUUGUGAAAAGAUAAACAUGAUCCAGAAGGAAGCAGAGGGAGGCUGGCUUAAAAGGCGAAACCAUGCUCCCUUUUCCUUGACAAUAAUUUAUCUGAAUUGUUCAGGACCAAAGUGUUGACUUGCUGACUCUUCAUGAUGCUGUCUGGAAUGGCCAAAUAAUGGUUCAAAAAAAAUUGUAGAGUGCCCCACGGCUGCCCCCAAUCCAAACAUUAGAGCAGCAUGUAAUUCCAAGCUCCCUGGCAGUUCCUAUUCAACUCUUCAGGUUCUGUCAUGAAGGGCAG
rnacentral:lncRNA from 1 species